CCUACGGGUGGCAGCAGUGGGGAAUAUUGGUCAAUGGGCGCAAGCCUGACCCAGCAACGCCGCGUGACGGAAGAAGGCUUUCGGGUUGUAAACUUCUUUUCUCAGGGACGAAGCAAGUGACGGUACCUGAGGAAUAAGCCAUGGCUAACUACGUGCCAGCAGCCGCGGUAAUACGUAGGUGGCAAGCGUUAUCCGGAUUUACUGGGUGUAAAGGGCUUGUAGGCGGGGACGCAAGUCAGAUGUGAAAAACACGGGCUCAACCUGUAGACUGCAUUUGAAACUGUGGUUCUUGAGUACUGGAGAGGCAGACGGAAUUCCUGGUGUAGCGGUGAAAUGCAUAGAUAUUAGGAGGAACACCAGUGGCGAAGGCGGUCUGCUGGACAGCAACUGACGCUGAGGCGCGAAAGCGUGGGGAGCAAACAGGAUUAGAUACCCCAGUAGUC
rnacentral:rRNA from 1 species